rnacentral:sRNA from 1 species
GCCAGGCUCAGUGGCGCAGGCCUGUAAUCCCAGCAUCUUGGGAGGCUGAGGCAGGAGGAUGGAGAGUUCAAAACUAUGCUCAGCAAAAGUGAGGUGCUAAACAACUCAGUGAGACCCUGUCUCUA